rnacentral:lncRNA from 1 species
GAGAAUGUGCCAAAGCACCCAGAGAGACCUAGGGGUAGGGACAGGCUACCUCCACCUCAAUCCUGACCUCCUUGGGGUUGAAAGGAAUGGGAGAAAAGACACUUGAAGGAAGGAACUAUGACAUCCCUCUGUUCUUCCUUGCAAAAUGGAUCUGUUGUCCCUGGACAUGGAGCAGAAUGAAUCGUCUGAAGAAGCUGGAUCACCCCUUUCAGCCAUCCCUCUAUCUUCCAGGGACUUCUCACGUCUUACCAUAAGAGCAUUCAGGUCCAUUUUUGUGGAGAAGCACAUGUAACACAAUAACAGAAACUGAACACUCACUAUUUAAAUGUGACUAUUGGCUGCACACAACUAUAUGCAAAUUUUGUUUUCUGGAUGGAAUUCAGUGUGUGGUUCAGAUUUUUUGCCUUCCUCAAAGGUGUGAAGGUUUCAGAGUUCGCAGGAUCACCAUCUUGCUGUCUGCAGUUCACAGAGUUGAUGUGAAGUUCUGGGAACCCCAUUCUCAUGGCACAAGCCAAGCUCCUCUUCUCAGGAGAGAUACAGGUGCUGCAUCAAGCUAACAUAGCCUUGGCUUGAUAUAUUUCCAGUUAGCUUUGAUGCUGAAGAAAAUGAACUAUAAAUUAUGCUUCUGGCUGAUGGAGAUGGGCUCUGAGGCUCCAUGGAUGCAGACCUUCACGAGACAACUGUUCAGAAGACCUAAAAAUAAACACUCAAGUUCAAAUCCUGAAGUUCUUUGCUUUCUUCUUGCCUUGCUCAAAGAGAUCUCCAGGGCAUCUGUAGGUGCUGCUCCAGCAUACAUGAUGAACAAUCUGAAUGAUGAAGAAGAUAAGCAGGAAAUAUUUCCACAUCAGAGAAAAUGUCUGACUUGUUAGAUUGUCAUUUAAAGAAAUUUCCAUAUAGAAAACAAACUUUCACAGGGCAGAACUGCACUCAGCAAUGCAGUCUGUCUUCUGCAGAAUGUUCUCUUCACAUCAGCUACAGUGGGGAGCCUAGGGAAAAGCACUGGUUCCUCUUUUAAUAUACUGAAAAUAUUUCUUGAACGUUGCUUCAACCAUUAUUGAAACUGCAACUGUUUCUCCACCCCUUCCCUGCAUGUGCUCUCUUUCCCCAAAACUGGGCUGAGGAGUGGAGUUAUUAGAGCCUUUAGGAAAUAAAUAAAUAAAUAAAGCAAACCACCACCACCAAAAAAAAAAAAAAAAAAAAAAAAAAAAAAAAAAAAAGGCCAGAAAUGGGCCUUUACACUUGC